rnacentral:tRNA from 1 species
UCCCUGGUGGUCUAGUGGUUAAGACUCUGCACUUUCAAUGCAGAGGUCUUGGGUUCAGUCCCUGAUUGGGGAA